UGGCAAUGAUGAAUUAAAGGCUGGACCAGUGGCUGCCAUUUAGUUAACUAGUAGUAGAUUGAUGAUUUGUUACCCGGGGGGUUUAAGGUGUAUGUUCUAAGCCAG